UAAAUAUACUUUUUUGUUAUAAACAAAAGAAAAGGGCUAGUCAUGCCGAUACACAGAUACCAAAGAAAUCUCUAGAGAUAAACACCAUUGUUCAAAUUCAAAAACCAGAUUUUCGAUCAUAUUUGUCGAUGCCCUUCUGUUGCGUUGACUGUGCCGAGACGAGCAUUCAGAUAUAUACACACACUAUGUGAACGAUGAUAACACAUACAGAUGCAGCAAAUAUGAGAGAUUGUAAUGAUGUGUACCUGGUGUGAUGAACAGAAAAUGUUGUGAAUAUCAAAGCAACGAAUCGGUAAUGUUGUCAGGGAUAUGAAACACCGAUUCCUUGUGGUUGAUUGCAGAUUAUCGGCCAAAUCCCAGUGAAGAGUCUAGUCGUGCUGAUAACGUGAUAAGAAACUAAUGUGACUAAUGUGGAAAUUGUAUUGAAUCUUGAAUAUUUGUUCCCAUACUAAAUUAUAGAUCUCUACAUACAUCUCUAUAACAAUUGGUGAAACCGACAUAUAGAUUGUAACCGUCAAAUAGUUAUUAGGGAAUGUUAAUGGCCAAACAGUUAUUA